rnacentral:rRNA from 1 species
UACAGAGGUCUCAAGCGUUGUUCGGAUUCAUUGGGCGUAAAGGGUGCGUAGGCGGCGUGGUAAGUCGGAUGUGAAAUCUCGGAGCUUAACUUCGAAACUGCAUUCGAUACUGCCGUGCUUGAGGACUGGAGAGGAGACUGGAAUUUACGGUGUAGCGGUGAAAUGCGUAGAUAUCGUAAGGAAGACCAGUGGCGAAGGCGGGUCUCUGGACAGUUCCUGACGCUGAGGCACGAAGGUCAGGGGAGCAAACGGG